rnacentral:rRNA from 1 species
UACGAGGGGAGCAAGCGUUGUUCGGAUUUACUGGGCGUAAAGGGCGCGUAGGCGGCCACGACAAGUCACUUGUGAAAUCUCCGGGCUUAACUCGGAACGGUCAAGUGAUACUGUCGGGCUAGAGUACAGAAGGGGCAACUGGAAUUCUCGGUGUAGCGGUGAAAUGCGUAGAUAUCGAGAGGAACACCUGCGGCGAAAGCGGCGCACUGGACCACAACGUGACGCUGAGGCGCGAAAGCCUAGGGGAGCAAACAGG